CACAAAAUAAGAUAUUAUAUACAUUUCCUAGUAUUGUUAUUUGUAGGGAGCUGCGAACAAGAAGCUUUGUUUUCAAUUAUUUUCCCUGCAUCACAUUUGUUGGGGUUGCGUGCUAUAUAUGCAUUCCCGGUCUCUUCCAUUCGCUGUUUUAGUUUUCUUGGGAAAUUAUGACUCAUAAAUGUCAAGCUAAAACAGAGUUCUAAAACCAGUAAGAUCCACAAUACAUUACCCUGGGUUUCAUGUGGUUUUGUAUAAUUUAAUUUAUACCCUGAUCUGUCCCAGCUCAGACAAGAAAUUUUUUGCUUCAUAGACUAUGAUUUGUGUCCUAAAAUUUGUAACCAGGUUGCGUCAUGUGAUUUAAAUCAUCCAAAACCAUAUUAUAAACCAAAAUUCCAACUAGUCACCAUCGCUGCCGUUACUAAACCUCUGACCAUGAAUAUGACAUAACAGUAAUUUUAAAUAGAUAUUCUUCCUUUUUUUGGGAUAAAUAUAAUCACUUUGGCUUAGAGGGAGAGUUCUCUCUUUGUUUAAGAGAGAUUAGGUUGGUGUAGAAACUAAAAGUGAGAAUGUAUAUAAUCUAAACAUAUUUAACCUCUCAAACAAAUUCUUAAAAGAUCCCAACAUCACAACUAUCCAACCUUUCUCCUCUUAUCCAUGAAUUUCACAUGCACAGUCCUUGCCCAAUUUGAGUCCAACAUGGCAAUCCAAUCAAACCAUC
rnacentral:lncRNA from 1 species